CAACCAGCUGAAAUACCUGCCUCCAGGUAAUACUGGCCAACAACCAGCUGAAAUACCUGCCUCCAGGUAAGACUGAUCCACAACCAGCUGAAAUACCUGCCUCCAGGUAAGACUGACCAACAACCAGCUGAAAUACCUGCCUCCAGGUAAGACUGGCCCACAACCAGCUGAAAUACCUGCCUCCAGGUAAGACUGGCCCACAACCAGCUGAAAUACCUGCCUCCAGGUAAGACUGACCAACAACCAGCUGAAAUACCUGCCUCCAGGUAAGACUGGCCCACAACCAGCUGAAAUACCUGCCUCCAGGUAAGACUGGCCCACAACCAACUGAAAUACCUGCCUCCAGGUAAGACUGACCCACAACCAGCUGAAAUACCUGCCUCCAGUUAAGACUGACCCACAACCAGCUGAAAUACCUGCCUCCAGGUAAGACUGGCCCACAACCAGCUGAAAAACCUGCCUCCAGGUAAGACUGACCCACAACCAGCUGAAAUACCUGCCUCCAGGUAAGACUGACCCACAACCAGCUGAAAUACCUGCCUCCAGGUAAGACUGACCCAACAACCAGCUGAAAUACCUGCCUCCAGGUUAGACUGGCCCACAACCAGCUGAAAUACCUGCCUCCAGGUAAGACUGACCCACAACCAGCUGAAAUACCUGCCUCCAGGUAAGACUGGCCAACAACCAGCUGAAAUACCUGCCUCCAGGUAAGACUGGCCCACAACCAGCUGAAAUACCUGCCUCCAGGUAAUACUGGCCAACAACCAGCUGAAAUACCUGCCUCCAGGUAAGAAUGACCCAACAACCAGCUGAAAUACCUGCCUCCAGGUAAGACUGACCCAACAACCAGCUGAAAUACCUGACUCCAGGUAAGACUGACCAACAACCAGCUGAAAUACCUGCCUCCAGGUAAGACUGACCAACAACCAGCUGAAAUACCUGCCUCCAGGUAAGACUGACCAACAACCAGCUGAAAUACCUGCCUCCAGGUAAGACUGACCCAACAACCAGCUGAAAUACCUGCCUCCAGGUAACACUGACCAACAACCAGCUGAAAUACCUGCCUCCAGGUAAGACUGGCCCACAACCAGCUGAAAUACCUGCCUCCAGGUAAGACUGACCAACAACCAGCUGAAAUACCUGCCUCCAGGUAAGACUGGCCCACAACCAGCUGAAAUACCUGCCUCCAGGUAAGACUGAUCCACAACCAGCUGAAAUACCUGCCUCCAGGUAAGACUGACCAACAACCAGCUGAAAUACCUGCCUCCAGGUAAGACUGACCCAACAACCAGCUGAAAAACCUGCCUCCAGGUAAGACUGAUCCACAACCAGCUGAAAUACCUGCCUCCAGGUAAGACUGACCAACAACCAGCUGAAAUACCUGCCUCCAGGUAAGACUGACCCACAACCAGCUGAAAUACCUGCCUCCAGGUAAUACUGGCCAACAACCAGCUGAAAUACCUGCCUCCAGGUAAGACUGACCAACAACCAGCUGAAAUACCUGCCUCCAGGUAAGACUGACCCACAACCAGCUGAAAUACCUGCCUCCAGGUAAUACUGGCCAACAACCAGCUGAAAUACCUGCCUCCAGGUUAGACUGACCAACAACCAGCUGAAAUACCUGCCUCCAGGUAAGACUGACCCACAACCAGCGGAAAUACAUGCCUCCAGGUAAGACUGGCCAACAACCAGCUGAAAUACCGGCCUCCAGGUAAGACUGACCCAACAACCAGCUGAAAUACCUGCCUCCAGGUAAGACUGGCCAACAACCAGCUGAAAUACCUGCCUCCAGGUCAGACUGGCCCACAACCAGCUGAAAUACCUGCCAGCAGGCAAGACUGACCCACAACCAGCUGAAAUACCUGCCUCCAGGUAAGACUGACCAACAACCAGCUGAAAUACCUGCCUCCAGGUAAGACUGACCCGCAACCAGCUGAAAUACCUGCCAGCAGGUAAGACUGACCCGCAACCAGCUGAAAUACCUGCCUCCAGGUAAGACUGGCCCACAACCAGCUGAAAUACCUGCCUCCAGGUAAGACUGACCAACAACCAGCUGAAAUACCUGCCUCCAGGUAAGACUGGCCCACAACCAGCUGAAAUACCUGCCUCCAGGUAAGACUGGCCCACAACCAGCUGAAAUACCUGCCUCCAGGUAAGACUGACCCACAACCAGCUGAAAUACCUGCCUCCAGUUAAGACUGACCCACAACCAGCUGAAAUACCUGCCUCCAGGUAAGACUGGCCCACAACCAGCUGAAAUACCUGCCUCCAGGUAAGACUGACCCACAACCAGCUGAAAUACCUGCCUCCAGGUAAGACUGACCCACAACCAGCUGAAAUACCUGCCUCCAGGUAAGACUGACCCAACAACCAGCUGAAAUACCUGCCUCCAGGUUAGACUGGCCCACAACCAGCUGAAAUACCUGCCUCCAGGUAAGACUGACCCACAACCAGCUGAAAUACCUGCCUCCAGGUAAGACUGGCCAACAACCAGCUGAAAUACCUGCCUCCAGGUAAGACUGGCCCACAACCAGCUGAAAUACCUGCCUCCAGGUAAUACUGGCCAACAACCAGCUGAAAUACCUGCCUCCAGGUAAGAAUGACCCAACAACCAGCUGAAAUACCUGCCUCCAGGUAAGACUGACCCAACAACCAGCUGAAAUACCUGACUCCAGGUAAGACUGACCAACAACCAGCUGAAAUACCUGCCUCCAGGUAAGACUGACCAACAACCAGCUGAAAUACCUGCCUCCAGGUAAGACUGACCAACAACCAGCUGAAAUACCUGCCUCCAGGUAAGACUGACCCAACAACCAGCUGAAAUACCUGCCUCCAGGUAACACUGACCAACAACCAGCUGAAAUACCUGCCUCCAGGUAAGACUGGCCCACAACCAGCUGAAAUACCUGCCUCCAGGUAAGACUGACCAACAACCAGCUGAAAUACCUGCCUCCAGGUAAGACUGGCCCACAACCAGCUGAAAUACCUGCCUCCAGGUAAGACUGAUCCACAACCAGCUGAAAUACCUGCCUCCAGGUAAGACUGACCAACAACCAGCUGAAAUACCUGCCUCCAGGUAAGACUGACCCACAACCAGCUGAAAUACCUGCCUCCAGGUAAUACUGGCCAACAACCAGCUGAAAUACCUGCCUCCAGGUUAGACUGACCAACAACCAGCUGAAAUACCUGCCUCCAGGUAAGACUGACCCACAACCAGCGGAAAUACAUGCCUCCAGGUAAGACUGGCCAACAACCAGCUGAAAUACCGGCCUCCAGGUAAGACUGACCCAACAACCAGCUGAAAUACCUGCCUCCAGGUAAGACUGGCCAACAACCAGCUGAAAUACCUGCCUCCAGGUCAGACUGGCCCACAACCAGCUGAAAUACCUGCCUCCAGGUAAGACUGGCCAACAACCAGCUGAAAUACCUGCCUCCAGGCAAGACUGACCCACAACCAGCUGAAAUACCUGCCUCCAGGUAAGACUGACCAACAACCAGCUGAAAUACCUGCCUCCAGGUAAGACUGACCCACAACCAGCUGAAAUACCUGCCAGCAGGUAAGACUGACCCACAACCAGCUGAAAUACCUGCCUCCAGGUAAGACUGGCCCACAACCAGCUGAAAUACCUGUCUCCAGGUAAGACUGACCCACAACCAGCUGAAAUACCUGCCUCCAGGUAAGACUGACCCACAACCAGCUGAAAUACCUGCCUCCAGGUAAGACUGGCCAACAACCAGCUGAAAUACCUGCCUCCAGGUAAGACUGGCCCACAACCAGCUGAAAUACCUGCCUCCAGGUAAGACUGACCCACAACCAGCUGAAAUACCUGCCUCCAGGUAAGACUGACCCACAACCAGCUGAAAUACCUGCCUCCAGGUAAGACUGGCCAACAACCAGCUGAAAUACCUGCCUCCAGGUAAGACUGGCCAACAACCAGCUGAAAUACCUGCCUCCAGGUAAGACUGACCCACAACCAGCUGAAAUACCUGCCUCCAGGUAAGACUGGCCAACAACCAGCUGAAAACCUGCCUCCAGGUAAGACUGGCCCACAACCAGCUGAAAUACCUGCCAGCAGGCAAGACUGACCCACAACCAGCUGAAAUACCUGCCUCCAGGUAAGACUGACCAACAACCAGCUGAAAUACCUGCCUCCAGGUAAGACUGAUCCACAACCAGCUGAAAUACCUGCCUCCAGGUAAGACUGACCCACAACCAGCUGAAAUACCUGCCUCCAGGUAAGACUGGCCAACAACCAGCUGAAAUACCUGCCUCCAGGUAAGACUGACCCACAACCAGCUGAAAUACCUGCCUCCAGGUAAGACUGGCCCACAACCAGCUGAAAUACCUGCCUCCAGGUAAGACCGACCAACAACCAGCUGAAAUACCUGCCUCCAGGUAAGACUGGCCCACAACCAGCUGAAAUACCUGCCUCCAGGUAAGACUGGCCCACAACCAGCUGAAAUACCUGCCUCCAGGUAAGACUGACCCACAACCAGCUGAAAUACCUGCCUCCAGGUAAGACUGACCCACAACCAGCUGAAAUACCUGCCUCCAGGUAAGACUGGCCCACAACCAGCUGAAAUACCUGCCUCCAGGUAAGACUGACCCACAACCAGCUGAAAUACCUUUCUCCAGGUAAGACUGACCCACAACCAGCUGAAAUACCUGCCUCCAGGUAAGACUGACCCAACAACCAGCUGAAAUACCUGCCUCCAGGUUAGACUGGCCCACAACCAGCUGAAAUACCUGCCUCCAGGUAAGACUGGCCAACAACCAGCUGAAAUACCUGCCUCCAGGUAAGACUGGCCAACAACCAGCUGAAAUACCUGCCUCCAGGUAAGA